ACUUUUUCUUCUCAAUUUUUAUAAACUAUUACAAAAGACAAUCACCCCAAACUGAACUUUUGGCCUUGACCUCCAAAACGGAGGGAUUAUAAUUUGCAGGUGAUGUUCGACAAGUAAUUAUUGCACUUCACUUCUGGAAUGACAGGAGUACUACUGUUACAGAAAUAUCUGAAUAUCACCUGCGGCAGAAAAAUGUGAAAUCUGGCUGAUUGACCUGAAGAAGUCUCAACCAAUUGUCAGCAGCCUGAAAGAGGUUGUUUGCCAAGUGACGAUCACUUGCUCCAUUAGGUGUCCACAAGGAACCCUUGAACUUGUAUGAAGCAAGACCAAAAACAGG
rnacentral:lncRNA from 1 species